CAAAAAGCGUUAAAGCUUCAUUGUUUUUAUCAAAAAUACCAUUAAUCUACUGUAACCCUUCACCUGUACUGAAUGAUCUCAUAAUUAUAUGAGAGCCUAUAUGUUAGAACUAGUAACAAGAAGAAGCCCUUCUCCAAAAUGUAAGCAUGAGCCAAAAUGAACUAUUCAUUGGCAUUUAAAGUUAUAAACCCAUUGUAGCAACUUAACAAGAAAAACCUACAACUGCAAACGUCAACCUUACACCAGCACAUUUCUGGAAAGAUAAAAAGAAUAGGAAGGAACUCGGCAAAUAACUAACCCCGCCUGUUUACCAAAAACAUCGCCUCCUGACUACCCAUAGGAGGUCCAGCCUGCCCAGUGACUAAGUUAAACGGCCGCGGUACCCUAACCGUGCAAAGGUAGCGCAAUCACUUGUUCUUUAAAUGAGGACUAGUAUGAACGGCAUCACGAGGGUUAUGCUGUCUCCCUACUCUAUUCAGUGAAACUGAUCUCCCCGUGAAGAAGCGGGGAUAAAGAUAUAAGACGAGAAGACCCCAUGGAGCUUUAAACUCAGUACCAACUGCCCGCAUAAUAACCUAUUACCCUUGCAGCCAUGGUUACUAGUUUUCGGUUGGGGUGACCACGGAGUAAAAUUUAACCUCCACGAUGAAAGGAACUAAUGUCCUAACCUAUGAGCUACAGCUCUAAGUAUCAACAAAUUGACUAAUUGACCCAAUUACUUGAUCAACGAACCAAGUUACCCUGGGGAUAACAGCGCAAUCCAUUUCAAGAGCUCAUAUCGACAAAUGGGUUUACGACCUCGAUGUUGGAUCAGGGUAUCCCAGUGGCGCAGCCGCUACUAACGGUUC
rnacentral:rRNA from 1 species